UUAGGUCAAGCCAAAUAGAGGCAUUUCAUUGUUAAUGAAAAAAUUGGGACUAAAAUAAACCCCAACUAAA
rnacentral:tRNA from 1 species